UUGACCUCGGAUCAGGUAGGAAUACCCGCUGAACUUAAGCAUAUCAAUAAGCGGAGGAAAAGAAACCAACAGGGAUUGCCCUAGUAACGGCGAGUGAAGCGGCAACAGCUCAAAUUUGAAAUCUGGCAACAGCCCGAGUUGUAAUUUGCAGAGGAAGCUUCUGGCGACGCACUGUCUAAGUCCCCUGGAACGGGGCGCCACAGCGGGUGAGAGCCCCAUGUGAUGGCUGCGGACCCAGUGUGAAGCUCCUUCGACGAGUCGAGUAGUUUGGGAAUGCUGCUCAAAAUGGGAGGUAAAUUCCUUCUAAAGCUAAAUAUUGGCCAGAGACCGAUAGCGCACAAGUAGAGUGAUCGAAAGAUGAAAAGCACUUUGAAAAGAGGGUUAAACAGCACGUGAAAUUGUUGAAAGGGAAGCGCUCAUGACCAGACUUGCGCUGGGCUGAUCAUCCGGUGUUCUCACCGGUGCACUCUGCCCGGCUCAGGCCAGCAUCGGUUUUGGUGGGGGGAUAAAGGCGCCGGGAACGUAGCUCCUCCGGGAGUGUUAUAGCCCGGUGUGCAAUACCCCCGCUGGGACCGAGGUCCGCGCAUCGC
rnacentral:rRNA from 2 species